GAAAUUCAAAUUAAGUGGCUUAUAUUAUGUUAUUUUUCUAUAAGUAUGUUUAUAUUUUAAAUGUACUUUAAUCUCUGUAUGCUUAAACACAAAUAGUAGGAAUAUACACCUAAGAAAUGUCAGAGUUUUCACAUCAGGACAUAUAUAAAAUUUCAUUGUGUUCUAAAGGACUGUGACAAUUCCGUUUAUGCAUAAAGAUGUACAUUUUUAGUGAAACUUUUGUGUCCUCAGAAUGUGUCCUAGGAGUGAAAUUAAGAUGUAGUAUACUGGAACCUUGCUAUAACUCUGCCUUUGGUGCAGUAGGAUUGUAUUAUAGGUAAACUACCUCAUGAUAAAGUCAUUUUAGUAUCUCAGUAAUGAAGUUUAAUAAAAACAUACACUCUCCAUCUCUCAAUACUGAAUUUUAUUCUUUAGUAAAAAUGUGGUGGUGUGGGCUGACAGUGGAAUCCCUGCAGUAUUAAUCCCAGCCAACUAAGAGCUGGGGAGUGGCAGAGAGAGGGAGAACUUGACAAUGACAACUGACGUGGAGAUCAACCAAGGGCAUUGAGGAUGUAUGGUGAUCCCAAGCCACUACCUGGGAAUCCUUACGAUAACUCACCAUCUGUUUAGCUUCUUGGGAAAAAAAAUGUAUAUAUAUUUUUGUAACUUUUAGCAAAAUAAUAGAUCAUUUCAUUCAAAUGUAUUUUCUAUUUUGCAGAAACACUAUAACAAUGGUGUGUGUUUUAUUAUAUAGUAUACACAGAGCCCUGAUGGUGCAGCAGUUAAGAGCUAUGGUGAGGAACGGCUGCUAACCAAGAGGUCAGCAGUUCCAGUCCACCAGCUGCUCCUUGGAAACCCUAUGGAGCAGUUCUACUCUGUCCUAUAGGGUCACUAUGAGUUGGAAUUGACUCCAUGGCAGUUGGUUUAUACUUUACACAGAGUGAUGAAAUGGGGCAAUGGAAGUCCUUGCGAAGUGUUUUAGAAAAGACCAGACAAAGAAGAAGGGGGGUAUUCCUUUGCCCUAUAAAUUAAGAAUCUAGGAGCUUUAAUUUUCUGAUAUUCAAUCUAGAAGCAACCGCUGGAGGUUUUUUUGCUGGGCCGUUUCACCCAGGAAGGACUAAACCAACAGCUAACAUAAGUGUAUGGAAUGUAAAUUAGUUAAGAGAAUGAAAUAAUUUGUUUCCUUUAAAAGUUGUAAAUCUGGUGACUGUUACAUUCGUAAUCAGACUCACUAUUUUCUAGCUAUAAUAUCCAACUUUUUUUUUACCUAAAUAUAGUAACUGCUUUAUUUUUCUAAAAUGUUUAAGUUUAACAAUGUUAAAAUAAUAAAACCAAGGUUUAAACUACAUUGGGUUUUAUAGGUUUUUAGACCUGCUGCUCUUUUGGUGAUUGCAGUUAAGAAGGUAAAGAGGGAGGGAAUUAUAUGAAGUAAGGAUAAUUUAGCAUAUUUUACCAUUUUGCCUGUUAGAAAAAUUUUAAAAACAAAAAUUUUUUAACUUUCUUACAUAGAAAAAAGCUGAGGCCCAAAAUUUUUUCAAGUCUUCAGCUACUUCAACAAGCAAAAACAUUUUGGUGUCUUCAAAAAUAAAAGAUGAAUAAUUGUGUGUUUAUAAAUAGAUAUAUAAAUAUAUCUUAGUAUAGGAACAAAUUGGGUUAUAUUUUUAUUACUGGGGAAUUUAAUUCAAUCCUUAAUAAACACAGUAGACAUUGCUAUCUAGAUUAUAAUUUUAGCUGCAUUUUAUGUAUGCGUAGAAUGUAUAGAAAGUCUCUUUCUUAUACUUGCUUUACAUUCUGUAGCCCAUCAACUGGAUAAUUCUCCCACUUCCUGUCCUUUUGCUGAUAAUUGUUUCUCUUUCCUUUUCUAACCCGCAUUCUAAUCCCCCCCCUCAAACUACUAAAGACUCAAAGCUUCUGGGGAGUUGAAAUUUGAGAGGGAGAUGGAGAAGUGUGUUUUGGUCUUCCAGUUUGGAGGUGUUUUCCUCUGGAAAAUCUUGAUCAUCUAGAUAUGAUGGUUAGGUUCUGUAUUACUAUUAGUCCUAUACCUAAGGUACAGAUGUCUGUAGUCUGGCCUAGGAGCCAAACCAGACUGUGUGAUGUUUUUAUGGGAAAGUGUGUUCCAAGUUCCAGACAAUCCUUUUAGAAACACCUAGUUGUUAAUUUUGAGAACCACUUAUGUGUAUUAUUUACCAAAAACCACUACAAAUAAUAUUAUUCAUUAUAAAAAUAUUAACCAUUUGUUAAAUUAUUAUAAAUUAGGGUAUGUUAUUUUAAAAUAUUUUAUGUUAUCUUGGAUAUGAAUUUAUAAACUGAAAAUUGUUUCCAAGAGUUCAAGGUAAAGACUAGGAAGGAGACAUCAAACAGAGCAAGUAAGUGCUGCUGAUGUUUUGAUAGUGUACAAUGCACACAAAAAGAAUCUUGUGUUAUCUGAUUGUUUUGUCUGUCCUCUUUAGAAGGAAUAUGACUAUAAAGUUUCUGAGAUCAUGAGAAUGAGAAACUUCAUGACCUCAUGAUGACCUAGGGUAGUUCUAUGAUAUAAUGUAGGCAAAACUACUUUUAACAUUCUAAAGUACUAUGUAAAUGGAAAGUUGUGUCGUUAAAUAUAAAAGACCUGCAGUGGAAAAGAAAACAUCAUAAAAGUGCUGAACAAGUACUUAGUUCCUCCAAAUUAUAGGUAAAGGAAACAAAAAGUAGAGAGCAAUUUUACCAAUACUUAGUGAGUGCUUCUUAUGAAGAACACGACAAAUGACUUUCCCAAAGAUAAAUAGAAUAUUAUUCUCAGAGGCAGGAUAAAAAUCACUCCCAAAUCCAGCUCUGUAAAUCAUAAAUGAAGUGACGAAUUUUAGAACCAUGGUCAUACUUGAGCCCUUUCAAAAUGAACUAUGUAAUUUGAAGUUUGGAUCAAAUUUUAAUAAAAAACAACACCUAACUUCAUUAAAAAAUUAGUUGUGUGAAAAAUAAACUUGGAUCUGGUCUUCAAAUAGUAUAACCAGUACAUUUUCAAUUUUGUAAUAUUUCAUAAAUUAUUAGUUUUUCUAGUAAAUCCAGACACUGAGACUAGAAAAUUGUCCUCAGACUUACUCGUAAAAUGACUCAUCAGAAUCAUUUCUUGUAUUUGUUGUUCUUCCCUUGAAACAGCUGUUUUUCUUGCCAACCUCGUUUACAUUUUUUCCGUUCUUAUCACUCCUUCAAAGACAGUGUCGUACAGCCAGUAUUAGUUGAUUCUUUUUAUUCUUGCUCUGUCUUUCAGUUUUUUUCUCUCGUAUCUUCACAGUGUCCCACCAUAAUUUAAUUUUUCUCUUUUAUUAAAAAACUUCAUUUUAGAUAUUUUUAUUUUGCUCAUUUUCUACUAUGUAUUUGAACAUAUAUAGUGACAUUCAUGUAUUUAUAUUUUAUAGAGAGAGAUUGAAGAAUUAUUUUCCUUUGACUAAUGCUAUAAUAAUGACUCAAAGUCAACAUUGUCCUUUUUCAAAGUUAAGUUUUAAGCUCAAAGCAGUGAUAAGCUGCCUUGUAUCUCAUAUUUUCUUUAACUUAACACAUCCUUAUAUAGCAUGGAAGUAUGUCCAGGCAUUGUUUUGAGUAAUAUCCAAAUAUUAAUUCAUUUAAUCCUCAAAACCAUCUUACAAGAUAGGUAGUAUAAUUAUCCUCAUUUUACAGGUGAGAAAACCGAGGUACAACUAGUAAGAGGCACAGCUGGGAAACAAACCCAGGUAAUCUGACUCAAGAGUUGGUUCUUUGGCCACUGAGUUCUGCUGCGUGCUUCUCAUACAGAGUUUUUUGUUUUAUUUUCCUUUUGAGAGAGUCUUCUGGUAUUUCUCUUUUGUAGAGUUAGGUACUCCCAAAUAAUGUACACAACAGAGACUAGCGGAAGGAAUCUACCCUUUUAUGAUGGUGGUAUUGGGGCUGCCCUGGGUUAGUGACUCACUCUAGCAAGCAGAGAAAACAUACUCAAACUGCUGGAGUGAGAGGUUCAGUUUGGGGGCUUUGGCGAGUGGGGCUGCCUAUGAUUCAUCUCUAUAUACUCCUACCAAAUGCAGAAAUUAUUGAACAGUAUCAGUUAUAUCACACACAAGUAAAAUUUUGCUGAAGAUCAUUCAAAAGCAGUUGCAGCAGUACAUUGACAGGGAACUGCCAGAAAUUGAAGCUGGAUUCAGAAGAGGACGUGGAACAAGGGAUCAGAUGGAUGUCAGAUGGAUCCUGGCUAAAAGCAGAGAAUACCACAAAGAUCUUUACCUAUGUUAUUUACUGACUAUGCAAAGGCAUUUGACUGUGUGGAUCAUACCAAAUUAUUGAUAACAUUGCAAGGAAUGGGAAUUCCAGAAAACUUAAUUGUGCUCAUGAGGAACCUGUACGUAGACCAAGAGGCAGUUGUUUGAAACUGUGUGGUUUAAAAUCAGGAAAGAUUUGCGUCAGGGUUGUAUCCUUUCAGGAUACUUACUCAAUCUGUAUGCCGUGCAAAUAAUCCAAGAAACUGGACUGUAUGAAGAAGAACGGGGCAUUAAGUUUGGAGGAGGACUCAUUAACAACCUGCGUUAUGCAGAUGACACAACCUUGCUUUCUGAAAGUGAAGCGGACUUGCAGCACUGAUGAAGAUCAGACUGUGGUCUUCAGUAUGAAUUACACUUCAGCAUAAAGUUCGUGUACAUGAACAUACACUUCAACUGUACCAAUAAGCAACGUGGUGAUAAACAGAGAAGAGAUUGAAGUUGUCAGGAUUUCAUUUUACUUGGAUCCACAAUCAAUACCCCAUGGAAGCAGCAGUCAAAAAAUCAAACCACACAUUGCAUUGGGCAGAUCUGCAAAAGGCCUCUUUAAAGUGUUGAAAAGCAAAGAUGUCACCUAGAAGACUGAGGUACACCUGACCCAAGCUGUGGUAUUUUCAGUUGCCUCAUAUGCAUACAAAGGCUGGGCAGUGAAUAAGGGAGACCCAAGAAGAAUUGAUGUCUUUGAAUUAUGGUGUUGGCAAAGAAUACUGAAUAUACCAUGGACUGCCAAAAGAACAAACAGAUCUAUCUUGGAAGAAGUACAGCCAGAAUGCUCCUUAGAAGCAAGGAUGGCGAGACUUCAUCUAACAUUUUUUAGACAUCUUAUCAGAAGGGACCAGUCCCUGGAAAAGGACAUCAUGCUUGGUAAAGUAGAGGGUCAGUGAAAAAGAGGAAGACCCUCAGUGAGAUGGAUUGACACAUUUUUGGCAACUAUGCUCAAGUAUAACAACAAUGAUGAAGAUGGCACAGGACGGGGCUGUGUUUCAUUCUCUCGUACAUAGGGUUGCUAUGAGUCGAAACCAACUCCACGGCACCUAACGAUAUCGCCCUACACCUAGCUCAGUGCUUGACUACAAUGGGCCCUUAGUAAAUAUUGAAAGGAAUCAACUAAUUCUAGUCCCGUUAGUGGAUUAUUUCACAUCACUGAGCCUCAGUAUCCCUUUCUAUAAAGCGGGGAUGAUAGUUCCAGUAAAGGAUUAAAUGAAUUAAUGUAUGUAAGUAGUCUUUGUAAAAUUAAAAGCACUAUUUGCAUGAAAAGGAUUAAAUAUUUAAAAGGCUAUUUUUCAAAUGAGCCUAAAUAUUAACACUUUAAUGACUAGUAGUUUAUAAGAGGAUAAGAGGAGCCCUGGUGGCAAAGUGGUUAAGAGCUCAGGCUGCUAACCAAAAGGUUGCUAUGAGUUGGAAUUGACUCCACAGCACAUGACAGUUUAUAAGAAGAUGUACUUUCCCCCAAGGUACACAUGUAUUUUUAUUUGUUUUUUGAAAAAUAUACAAUUAUUAUUUGGAAGGAUCCCUAGUUGUGCAGUGGUUAAAGCGCUCGGCUGCUAACUGAAAGGUCAGCAGUUCGAACCCAUCAGCUGCUCUGCAGGAGGAAGAUGUGGCAGCCUGCUUCUGUAAAGAUUUACAGCCUUGGAAACCCUAUGGGUCAGUUCUACUCUGUGCUAUAGGGUUGCUAUGAGUCGGUAUCGACUCCUUGGCAGGGGGUUUGGUUUUUUAUUAUUAUUAUUUAAAAUCGUUCUGAAUUGACCCUUGGGCAAAGAGAGUUGCUUAUCAUUGUUUAAAGUACAUUUAAAUUCUAGAGGUUUGAUUUUUAGGCUUCUGGCUCUACAGGACAUAAAGAUAGCAUCUGGAGUUCUAGGAGCUCUUUGAUGUUAUUACUCUUGUGCUCAGGUACCUUGUACUUUCAGUUUCUCUAAAAAGGUUUGAUUUUUGUUGUUAUGGAAGAGAGAGACUUGGAAAUAGAUACACCAGGAAGUUCUCUUUACUUGUCAAAAGAAACUGAGCGAAAGCACAGUUACACUUACCUCAUCAUCAAUGAGGAGAUGUUGGAGUUCUAGUUGCUAUAUAUAGUAACUUAUCUUGAAAUUCAAGCUACUAUUAUGAUGUUUUCCCUUUUGGCGCCAUUUAUUUUUAUAUUAUUGGAUAUUUUCUCAUCGUUGGCACUGCAUUAUUCUGGGAUACAUUCAAAUCUAAAACAUUCUAAUUACCCCCAUAGGAUAAAGUGUGUGAACCUAUUUGUCUAACUUACAAUGGGAAUGAUAGUUUUUACAUUUAAACUUGAUUUUUAAGUAAUGCCUGGCUUUUUUUUUUUCUUACUAGAAUUAUUUUUUAAAGGAGAUAUCAUCAACCCUUGUAUUUAUAUCUGAAGUAGAAUUCUGUCCAUUAUUUCUAGUUUUUCCUUCUUCAUGCACUUUAAUACCUCAAGUGGACACUGCCUUCAGGGGUACAUGGAAAGAUCUUUAUGCAGAUAAAUGUGCCCUAGGAAAUAGUGAUAAACUCAGUUUUCUUUACAUAUUUGUGCUUUCACAAUACUUCCGUAACACACUAGUAUGUUUGUCAUAUACCAAGGACAUAGUUACAUUUCUAUAGCUAGGUCUUCUAUUCAGUAAACUUACUGAAACUUACCUUGCUUUGUUCUAUUUUGUUGACUAUGUAAAAGUAGGACUGCAGUGGUAAGGAAAUUACGCAGGAAUCUUUUUGGAUUAUAAUGUGUAAAAGUCCUCCUUUGCUUCAUACAGGCACUUCCUACUUUUCAUUUGUUACUGGAUACUUUAAAGGACAUUCACCAUUUUGCAAUUCCUUAGCUACCAAAUCAGCUCUCAACUAUUAACGUAUCCCAUACUAUAUAUUCUAGUUCCGUGAUUUUUCCAGGGAUUUCAUUUUAAAAUACAUUUAAUGACUAUUCAAAAUGUAUGACCAAUGACAUCAGAACAUAGCAAUAACAAAAAUAAAGCUACCGCUUUUUAUUGAUUUAUUUAUAACAAAAUACAGCUUUUAUGGUACUCUGAUGGGAUGAAAACCUACAGCUCCUGACUCAGUUUUUUCCUGCCACCAGAGGGCUAGGUUUGACUGAGCAAAAACUGUAGUUUCCUUAGCUAUUAAUAUAAAAAUCAGUUGCCACUGAGUUGAUUCCUACUCACAGUAACCCCAUGUGAGUCAGAGUAGAAGUGUGCUCCUUAGGGUUUUCAAUGUGUAGCUAUAGAAAAAAGCCCCUGUUUUUUCCAGACUUUUAACAAAUCCUGCAGACUUCUCUGCAGUAUUUUGAUUUUUUGGAUUCAGCGUAUUUCCUAGAAUAUUUAUAUUUUCAAAUAUCCUAAGAAACCAAAUUCAAAUUCCAAAAUAUUUUAUAUUUGAAUUACCUUCAAAGGAUAACAUGUAAGAACCUGUUUGUCUAACCUGUAGUGGAAGUGAAAACAACUUGAAUUUGUGGCAGUGUUAGUAAUAGCUGGCUUUUUAAAUUAUUGGAAUUGUUAAAAAUGAUGUCAUUCAGAAAACAUCAACCCUUAUGUUUAAGUCUGACUGAAAUUCUGUCCUUUAUUACAAUUUUUAUGUGUAAAAUUUAAUACCUUAAAUUGCACACAACAUAAUGAGAAAUAUUUAUUUCUAUUCUAUCUUUAUGAACCUUUGACAUUUUAAAAAUCAACAGUGAAUAAUGCAAAAAUAGGGAAGCAUUUCAAUGAAUGUUUUUAAUCCUUAGGCUCAUUUACUUCAAAGAUUAAGGAAUAUGUGAUUUAGUAAUUUUAUUAGCAUAUUCAAAGUAAGAAAAAUGUGGCAUAAACAGGGAAAGUUGCCAUCAUCUAAUAAAGACACCCUUAAAAAUACUCAGUGAGUGGAGUUCCAGUAAAAUAAAAAUGUUGCGUUUCAGGAAGAAGGAAAAGCUGAGGGAAACAUUGUGGUAAAAAGCAUGUGCUUUGGAGUUUGAUUACCGGCUCUGUUACUUAUUACCAUCUUUGUGACCUUCAGCAACUUACUUAACAUUUUGGAGUUUUAGUGUCCUCAUUUUGUAAAGCACGUUAAUACCUCAUAAAAUUAUUGUUUGGAUUAAAUGAGAUGAUAUACGUAAAGCACCCACUACUGUAAAUAUUAUCCUCUGUUUAAUCCAAAGGUGUGAUGUUGUAAUUGAUUCUCAUUUGUUCAGAAGAGUCUCUCUCUGGAGAGAGAAGAUGCAACAUAUUAUUAGGACUGUGUCUGUAAGUAUAACUAUUCCAGGACAAAGAGUUCAGUGUUUUCAUGGUGUUGUAACUAUAAAUAGAAUGUUUGGAAAAUAUAUUUCUUUAGUUAUAAUAAUAGCAGCUAACAUUUAUUGAUUGCCUACUGUAUGCCAGCACUAUUCUAAGUGCUUUUGCAUAUUAACUCACUUAUGUCUCACCACAGCUAUAUUAUUAUCACAAUUUAAUAGGUUGUGGAAACUAAGGAACAAAGAUUAUAUAACUUUGCUAAAGUUUACACAGCUAUUAAACAGUGGAGCUGGGCUCCAAAACCAGGCAGUCUGGCUCCAGAAUCCACAUCCUUAGUUGCUUAUCUAAAUGGCUGAAAUAUUUUUUGCGUAUAUUUCCACAGGAGCAUUGUUUUCUAAAAUAAACAUGUAGGAACAUUUAGAGAGUAUUUUAUACUGGCUUUACUAAAAAUAAAAAUAAAAAUAAUUUUUUUUUUUUACCCUUAAAAACACACCCCUUCCAAAUGGUUAUUGUUAACGUGAUUGAAACAAUUAUUUUGGAAUUUCAAAUAGUUUCUGAUAGGAUAAACAGUUUCAGUAAGAAUAAACGUUUGGUUAGAAAGGUACCAAAAUGGUUAGGCGCUAAAGAAAUCACUUAGAAAAGUAGACGUGACCCUUUUAAAAUUACUUUUUUACUUUUUGUUUUCAAAUACCAAUAAAAUAUUUAUAAUAAACAGUAUAAAAAAUAUAAUUUUGUUAGGCCCACAAAGUCAGGCUUUUAGAAUUUUCUUUCCAGGUUGAAGGAGAAGAGUGCCUUGAACACUGUAGAGGUUUAUUUUGGCUGAUGACUGUUCUGUGUUUGAAUUUGCUCCAGCUGUGCUACAGUGCUGCUCUCCUUCUACCCACAUGGACGCCCUGAGUAGUUGUGUCACCCCCACUGCCUCUUCGUAUGCACACUGCAACUACUUCCAGCUCAGCCUGUUGAAAAUACAACAAUGCAGGAAUCUGCAGCCAACCAACAAGCUCAUGUCAAACUGAAGGAUCAGCUAAGUCAUAAUCCAUCUCCAUCUUCGGUAGUAUUUGUGCAAGAAGGGCUACCAUUCAGCACACACCAGGUAAGGGGGCAAAAAAAAAAAAAAACUAGUAAAGCUAAAAGUACCUAAUGCUUCUUGCUAAAGACUGUUCUAGUGGAGAGUUCAUCCAGAUUCGUUUGGGUUUAAUACUAGCUUGCUAUACUUUCCAGAAGAAUCAUACCCCAGUGGUUCUGCACAAAAGAUUUAGAAAGAAGGAAGUUACCUUACUCCCCAGGUAUCCUCUCUCUAUGUUACGGCCUGAAGUCAACCUCUAGAGAGUCAGUCUGAUGGACCAUUGUAGUAUAAAAUUUAUUUUCAUGUUAAAAGCAUCCCUUGAGUUCUGUUCUCUAUCUUAGUUUGGAUGGACUAAGUAUCCCUGGCUGAUAGAAUCCUACUACCCAGAAGGGGUGAUUUAUUUGACAGGUACUAUCAGGACCUUUUUAGCCAUUUGUGGCAUGAAGGUAAGGAGAUGGCUGGAGGGUUUUUUAUACUUUCUUACAGCAUCACUGAACUCUAAUAUGACUUGUGAGCCUACUGUGUUUGAAAUUUCCUUACCAAUAUCUGCAUUCCUAAAAUAGAACACUGACUAUAGUUUGAGGAGAAGGUAGAGAGUAAUUCCUCUAUUGCUGCUGGUUUGUGACCAGAAAAUUAUUUUUUCUAAAUUUUAUUUAUUUUGAUGUUAUUAUUGAGAAUAUAACAGCAAAACAUAUACCAAUUCAACAGUUUACACGUGUAUAAUUCAGUGACAUUGAUUCUUCCCUCAUUGAUAUAAAUUCAUUGCCCCCCAAGGUUCCUGUCUAAUCUUUUGAGUUGCUAUUGUUAAUUUGAUCCCAUAUUAGAUCUUAAAAGUAUAUAAUGCUCAAGGCAGACCUUUUUUACUAGUUAAGUUAAACUAUUAUCCAGUUGAAAAUUAAUCAGUUUUGAUUCAUCAAAAGUAUAUCCAAAUUAAAACCAUUUUUUGUGAAUUUAUCUGAUAAGUAUUUUUCCCUACUCUUAAUUUUUUUUUUUAAAUCUUAACCUGUUCUUUUUUGUUGUUGUUAACAGGACUGAAAAUCUCUUUUGUGUUUGAAAUUUCCAACAUAACUUUUAGGAGACUUCUUAGCUCUAAUUUUAGAUUCAAAUCUCUCAAGGCUUCUAUUUUUCAUUGUGCUUUUUGAGCCUUAGUAUUAAGACCCAGUAUUGUGUGUUAAGAUAAUGUUGUAAAUUCAGUAGACCAAAGAUAGUCCCAUUAUGUAGCAAAUACGCUGGUGUAAAGAACCCCAAAUUUGUCUUUGUUCCUUCAUAGUCACACUCCAGAAGCAUUAGAUUUAAUACUUUAAAAUUGCAUUUCUAUACAUGGUUAUUUUUUCUUUAAUAUUUUUUAAUAGUGCAGCUUUUGAAAGCUAUUUUUUUUUUUAACUUUUGGCUUCAUUUCAUUAUACAGUUUUAUUUUAAAAUAAAUUCCUAAAGAAAUAGAGCAUUCCUGAAGUUGGCCACCUUGACAUAGGGAUUUGACGUUGCAAAGAAAGCUCUUAAGAGCGUCAAGAAAGAAACUUAUAUAUCCUAAGCAGGGCAGAUCCAGAUUCUAUAGUGGCUGAAACACAUAAAAUUUUGAGGUCCUCUUUAAGACAAAGAGUGCAGAAUACGUAGAAUAAAGUGCCCAUGCCCCAUUGACACCAUCCAACAGGUAUAUGUAGAGCCAUUCCAAUACCACUAACAGAAGGGGAAAUCUGAUGGAGGGAUGUCAGAGUGGAGAUAGUGGUUAUAACCAAUUAUGAUCAAAAUAUCUUACUUUUGUAAAUUUUACAAAAACCAAACAACAAAAACAACCCACUAGCUUCAUGGUAAAUCUUCCUCUGAUCAUAAGAAAAUGUUUUAGACUCAUAUACAUUUCAGUGGUUUGUGUAUGGGGAAGUGUACAUUUUACUACCAAAUAUUUAGGUAACUCAAUAGAAUCAUAGGUAGUAUCAUUCAUAAGGAUGACAAGCCUUACAAGCAUGUUGUUGGACCAUGUUUCCAUAGUAGAACUUCUCUGAUGGAAUAUCUUAACUUUCAGUAGAUUAUUUUGGGGAAAUCUCAGAAUAAUGAGUGGGUUUAAUAUUUUAGGUGGAUACCAGUAUAAAAUGCCAGACCAAUCCGUCUGAGAAUAUCUUGCCUUCAGAACAGAUGGGAUUCCUUAUUUCAGAAAUGGGGUCUGCUAGCAAGCCUAGUAAAGACACAGGUUUAUCCACUCCAGCCAGAUACAGAGAGCGAAGAAGCAACUCACAGCAAGGAAAGUCCCCUGGUAAGGAUUAUAGUACAAUAGAAUGCUAGAAGUAGAACCAAGGUGUAGAAUUAAUGUAUGAAUGACAGUUUAUCCAGGUCUUCAUUUAUUAUUCAUAAUUGUGUUACACCUAUCACAUUGCUAUUUUACUUAACUGUAAUUUAACUCUAUACGUUUUCUUAAUUAUCCUUUAAAAAUUUUUCCCAUGUGGCAUGUAGAAUUUGAGCUUUCAAAAAUAACAAACUAAGAAAAAGCAAAGGAAUUGGGGUUACUUAACUUGGAGAAGGGAAAGAUAAAGGGUAAUUUAAUAAUUGCCUUCAGAUGCCCAAGACUUUGUAAUUAUAGAUAUACUUGUUCUCUUACCAACAUAGUGUAGAACAAGAGGGAAUGAGCUUAAAUCGUGACAGGAGAAAAUUAGGAUAGACAUUAAAGACAUUAUCCUGAGUACAUUAUGAAAACAAUGGAAAGUAUGACUGUAUAUCAAUGGGAUUGUUUUCUUAUGGUUUGUAGGAGCCAGAAGAAGUGAUUGUUUUAGGCAUAUACAAUUGGUUGUAAUCUUCUGAGGGAAAUUGGACAAAAUAAUAUUUUUUGAAGAAAACAGUGAUAUUUAAUAAAACAUGAUUCUUAUAUGAUCCAAAAAUAAAUCAUGAAAGUCUUCAGUGGAUAACUCUAAUAUCCUAAAGUUAUAUGUAUGUCAGUUGCAUGCAGUGUGGGCAGAAUUAAUCAGGCCAAACAACCAUUUUUUAAAAAAUAAUAUUUUAUUGUGUUUUUGGUGAAAGUUUACACAGCAAGUUAGAUUUCUGUUUGACAGUUUCCAUUCAAAGUGUUCAGUGACAUUACUUACAUUUUUCAUAGUGGGUCAGCAUUCUCUUUAGUUGUAUUCUGGUUGUUCCAUUUCCAGUACUAUAGUCUCCCUGCCCCCUUAUCUUCUCAUCUUUGCUUUAGAGUAAGUAUUGACCUUUUGGUCUCAUACAAAUGAUUUUUAAGUAGAGCAUAGAUCUUAUACAUAAUAUCCCUUAUUGUGUGUGCCACUCUUAUUUCACUUAAAGGGGUAGAUUUAGUUCAAGGUUCAGUGUGCCUGAGGGUGAUAGUCUCAGGGAGUCCUCUAGUCUCUACUAGUCCGGUUAGUCUGGCCUUUCUUUUUUAGAAUUUGAUUUUUGUUCUAUAUUUUUUUUCUCCCAUUCUCUCCGGGGCCCUCUGUUGUGACCCCACAGACAAUCAUAUUAAGCUCUAAAAUUUGGACUAUGUUGGGACCUUCUGUGAGAAUUUCUCCCCGGAAAAGUAAACUAAUAGUGACAUGAUCAAGAUGUUGCUUGGACUCAUAGGAUUCUUCCUGCCAAAUGCUUUUUAGACUAAAAACUAUAUUGGUCACUCAUCUCAUUCAUAAAGCUUGUGCAGUCACUUAUUAUUGAUUACAUGACCCAACACAUAAUCAAAAAUGAAGAUUUCUUAUCACUGAAGAUGUAUAAAACAAUGGCAUAGUUUGAAGGCAAUUUUAGAUGAGAGAAGGGCAAGAAUCAAUAUUUACUGUGUACUACUAUUAUGCCAUACAACAAACUUUUUAAAAUUUUUUAUUGUGCUUUUUUAAGUGAAAGUUUACAAACCAAGUCAGUCUCUCACACAAAAACUUACAUACACCCUGCUAUAUACUCCUAGUUGCUCUCCCUCUAAUGAGACAGCACACUCCUUCCCUUCACUUUCUAUUUUUGUGUCCAUUCGGCCAGCUUCUGACCCUCUCUGCCCUCUCAUCUCCUCUCCAGGCGGGAGCUGUCCACAUAGUCUCAUGUGUCUACUUGAUCCAAGAAGCUCACUCUUCACCAGUAUCAUUUUAUAUCCCAUAGUCCAGUCCAAUCCCUGUCUGAAGAGUACAACAAACUUUUGUUGAAAGUGAUGUCAUUACUUAAAGAUCAGGAAACACGCUUGGAGAAGAUAAGUAACAUGUUCAAGGUCAUGCAUUAAUGUAGCUGAGAUUUUACUGUAGGUUGUUUGAGCACCUGUUCUUUCCUUUUAAUUUUUAAUAUCACAAAUAAUAGACAAAUACAUUCGCCUUGUAAGAAGAACCAAUAAGGCCAGAAUUUCCUUGGACCACUACCUCUCUGUACUAUUCCCCUUACCUUUUCCCCAAAGAUAUCCACAUGUUCACUUUCCGUCAUGAUUUCAGCAAUGGCACAAUCAUUGGAAUAAGUAUAUAGCCUUUUAAGAUUACUUUGGAGGACAAAGUAUUAUAUAAGUUUGCAUAUAUUUGUUAAAUGAUUUUUAACAAAGUUAUUACUUUAAGGUUAAAUGUGGACAUACUGGACAAUUGAACUAAUAAACAAAAGACACUAUAAAGAAAUUUAAAGGAUUUUAAGUACAGUACAUUCAAGGAUACAGAGAGAAAUAAAAUGAUUUCAUGAGUGUAUGCAAAGGGAGAGAGGAUUGGGGCUCAGAAACUCUUGGUUGUUAUGAGAUAGAGGUGAGGCAGAGGGCAGAAGGGUCAUAUACAGUACAGUUAACAUAUCCACCCACCCCUACCUUCCCCCUGCAAAAUGUUGGAAACUAGAAAUUGGAACUUCUUUAAAGGAAGAGAUUUGGGAUUUAGAAACACCUGAUUUAGCAGUGGCCAAAAUGGGGAACUAAAAAUGAAAAAAGUAACUAAAAGUCCAGCCCUUCUUUUCUCCUAUGUAUGCAGAAUACUCACUGGCAGCCAGGGGACUACAGAAGGUCAAAGAUAUUCUCCUUUGGAGAACUAAAGGGCCCCAGAGAAGACCUUUAUGUGUUAGCAUUUGGGAUUUCUCCAGAGAAAAUGGGUGGUGUACAACUAAUGGAUCAACAUCAGGCUAAGCCCACCACUUGGCAAGUCUUGUCCAUGUUACAGAGCUUCCACUCAGCUCUGUAAUGCCCCAUUCUUAAAUUUGGAAGAACAGCCAAAAAACAAACAGAAGAAAACCUAAAGGAAGCAGAGACUUGCUGUGAGAAAACAACUUCAGAACCAACCCUUCCAUUUAGUAUCCUCAGCUAUGAGAAGAUGUUGUAUCCAUAUAAAAGAACAAGAAGUUUUUUUUUAAAAAAGCAACAAUUACAGAAUAAGAAAGAGUGCUUAAAAGUUACAGAUUUCAUAGCAGGAAAAAAAAACAACAAAAUGGUAUGAAGUUAAAGUUGAGGAAUAUCCCACAAAUAGAAAAAAGGCAAAGAAAUAGAAAAUAGGAAAGAAAAAUAAAAUAAAGGGGUUUAACCCAGGACAUCCAAUACCUGACUAAAGAAAUAAUAGGGAAAAGGGAGAGGGGAGGUAAGAAAUUUUUAAAAAUGAGAAGGAAACUUCCACUUCUGGUAAUGGCAGGCUUGGUGACUGUGACCAGCACUCCCACUGAAAACACUCCCACUGAAAACAACAACAAAAACCCUGGAGAAACUAUAAAAAUAAUAGUCUUCAAAAGCUAGUAAGAUAGUGAAUUACUGGGUUGAGUGCCAGGAGAGAAUGGAAGUAUAGAGAAGAAAGCUCAGCACUUGAGGCUGUUUUGCCAUUGUGACAUUUGCACAGGCAGCUGAGAAGAUAAGCUGUUUUGUCAUACUUUGGAGGCAAAGGGAACAAAAUUCAGAGGCGGGGCCAUCCAAAGUUUAGGUUCUGAUUAAUUGGCUUCCUUUAUAUAUCUAGGAUGGAGCCCUGGUGGCACAGUGGUUUAAUCAGUCAGCUGCUAACUGAAAGGUCUACAGUUUGACCCCAGCAGUCAGUCUGAGGGAGAAAGAUGUGGCAGCCUGCUUCCAUAAAGAUCAUAGUUUUGGAAACCAUAUAGGGCAGUUACAUGAUGUCCUACAGGGUCACUUUGAGUCGAAAUUGACUUGAGGGAAGUGGGUUUUAUAUGUCAAGUACCUCAAAAAGCAGCAGCCCAGGAGUGAGGAUGAACCAUGUGCCUUAGUUAUCUAGUGCUGCUAUAACAGAAAUACCACAAGUGCAUGGUUUCAAGAAAUAGAUUUAUUUUCUCACAGUUUAGGAGGGUAGAAGUCCAAAUUAAGGGGGCUGGCUCUAGAGGAAGGUUUUUUUUUUUUUAAUUUUUACUGUGCUUUAAGUGAAAGCUUACAAAUCAAGUCAGUCUCUCAUACAAAAAUUUAUAUACACCUUGCUGUAUACUCCUGGUUGCUCUCUCCCUAAUGAGACAGCACACUUCUUCCCUCCACUCUCUAUUUUCAUGUCCAUUUGGCCAGCUUCUGACCCCCUCUGCCCUCCUGUCUCACCUCCAGACAGGAGAUACCCACAUAGUUUCAUGUGUCUACUUGAUCCAGGAAGCUCACUCUUCACUGGUAGUAUUAUUUUCUAUCCCAUAGUCCAGUCCAGUCCCUGUCUGAAGAGUUGGCUUUGGGAAUGGUUCCUGUCUUGGGCUAACAGAAGGUCUGGGGACCAUGACCUCCAGGGUCCUUCUAGUCUCAGACCAUUAAGUCUGGUCUUUUUACAGGAAUUUGGGGUCUGCAUUCCACUGCUCUCCUGUUCCCUUAGGGGUUCUCUGUUGUGUUCCUUGUCAGGGCAGUCAUCGAUUAUAGCUGGGCACCAUCUAGUUCUUCUGGUCUCAGGCUGAUGUAGUCUCUGGUUUAUGUGCCCCUUUCUGUCUCUUGGGCUCAUAAUUACCUUCUGUCUUUGAUGUUCUUCAUUCUCCUUUGGUCCAGGUGGGUUGAGACCAAUUGAUGGAUCUUAGAUGGCCUCUCGCUAGCAUUUAAGACCCCAGAUGCCACUCUUCAAAGUGACAUGCAGAGUGUUUUCUUAAUAGAUUUUAUUAUGCCAAUUAACUUAGAUGUCCCCUGAAACCAUGGCCCCCAAAUCCCCACUCCUGCUAUGCUGGCCUUGGAAGUGUUCAGUUUACUCAGGAAACUGCUUUGGUUUAGUCCAGUUGUGCUGACCUCUCCUGUAUUUUGUGUUGUCUUUCCCUUCACCUAAAAUAGUUCUUGUCUACUAUCCAAUUAGUGAAAACCCCUCUCUCUCCCUCCCCACUCUCGUAACCAUCAAAGAAUAUUUUCUUCUCUUUUUUUUUAUUUAAACUAUUUCUCAAGAUCUUAUAAUAGUGGUCUCAUACAAUAUUUAUCCUUUUGCAACUGACUAAUUUCAGCAUAAUGGGAAGGCUUUCUCUUUAUCUGUAGGCUUUGAAGGAAGGUCCUUGUUUCUUCAGCUUUUGCUCCGUUGUUCCUUGAAGAUCUCUGUGUGUCAUGGCAUCUGUCUUACCUCAUCUCUGUUUCCAUCACUGCUUUCUUGUCCUAAUUUGCUGUUUUUAUAUCUUGUGAAAGAUUGACUCAAAACACACCCCACACUAACCCUGCCUUGUUAACAUGACAAAGACUGCCAUCCACAAAUGGGAUUAUAAUCACAGAGGUUAGGAUUUACAACACAUAUUUUGGGGGGACACAGUUCAAUUCAUAACAUCAGGAUAAAACCAGCCCUUGUAUAGACAGCUGCCAGAAAAACCCCAAGCCCUGAAUUAGAUUAAUUGCUAAUGUCCCUAGAUGCCUGGUAGAGACAGAUCUUCUUUGAGGAGGAUAAUAUCAUACUAGCCCUCAAAUUAGUUUUGCCAGUAAUUUUUUAAGUACCUUUUCCCUCACAUAGUCAAAAUAACCAGUUACAUGAAAGAAGAAGCCACUAUUGAGCACUAGCACAAACAAGAGGACUGAAACAGGCUCAUGGAAACUCCAGAUACUGGAAUUACUGGAAUCCAACAACAAAACAACCUUGCUUACUAUUUCAAGGAGGUAAAGGCCGUGCUUGAAAAUUCUGGCGGGGAACUAGAAACUCGAAAAUACCACUAGCAGGUUUGGAAAAAAAACAAAUAGAAAUUCUAGAACUGGAAACCAAAUUAUUCCACCUGAAACUGGAUACAAGCCAAGAAUGCCCACUCUCACCACUUCUACUCAAUAUUGUAUUAGAAAUUCUAGCCAGAGCAAUAAGACAAGAAAAAGAAAAGGUAUCCAGAUUGGAAAAAAAGAAGUAAAAUAAUCUCUAUUUGCAGAUGACAUGAUGCUAUAUAUAGAAAAUCCCAAAGAGUUCACAAGAAAAAUUUUUAGAGCUAAUAGAAGAAUUUAGCAAAAUUGCAGGGUACAAGAUCACCAAACAAAAAUCAGUUGGGUUUCUAUACACCAGCGAUGAGACAUCUGAAAGGGAAAUUAAGGAAACAGUUCCAUUUACAAUAGCAUUUAGGAGAAUGAAAUACCCAGGAAUAAAUUUAACCAGGUGUGCGAAGGACCAAUACAAUGAAAAUUAUAAAACACUGCUGAAAGAGAUUAAAGAAGACUUCAAUAAAUGGAAGGAUGUUCCAUGUUCAUGGAUUGGAAGACUUAAUAUUGUUAAGAUGUUGAUAGUACCCAAAGUGAUCUAUAGAUGCAAUGCAAUGCCAAUUAAAAUUAGAGAAAUGAAAAAAAACAUUUUCAACUUUUUAUGGAAUGGCAAGAGGCCCCAAGUAGCUAAAGAGAUGUUGAAAGACCAGAACAAAGUAGGAGAACUCAUACUUUGAUUUUAAAACACACAGCUACAUUAAUCAAAACAGCCUGGUACUGGUGUACCAAAACAAACAAACGAAAAAAAACCCAUUGCUGUCGAGUCGAUUCUGACUCAUAGAGACCCUAUAGGCCAGAGUAGAACUGCCCCCUAAAGUUUCCAAGGAGCGCCUGGUGGAUUUAAACUGCUGACCUUUUGGUCAGCAGCCAUCGCUCUUAACCAUUAUGCCACCAUGGUUUCCACUGGUAUACCAGUAGACACAUAAACCAAUGGAAUACAAUUGAGAGUCCAGAAAUAAACCCACACAUCUAUGGUCAGCUGAUUUUUGACAAAGGUGCUAAGCCUAUUUGAUAGGGGAAGAAGAGUCUCUUCAAUAAGUGGUGUUGGGAAAGUUGGAUUUCCACAUACAGAAAAAUGAAACAGGAUCCAUGCCGCACACCUUACACAAAAACAAAUUCAAAAUGGAUUAAGGACCUAAAUACAGAAACUAAAACCAUAAAAUUUUUAGAAGAAAAUGUUGGGACAAUGCUGUCAGGCCUAGCUUUUAACAAUGGAUUAAUAUAAUAAAAGCACAAACAGCAAAUGACAAAUAACUGGGACCUCAUAAAAAUUAAAAACUUUUGUUCAUCAAAAGACUGUAUCAAAAAAUGAAAAGACAAGCCACCAACUGGGAGAAUAUCUUCUAGAAACCGUAUGUCUGAUAAGAAUCUAAUAACCAAAAAAAUAUAUAAAACUUUGAAAACAACAAAAAGACAAAUAACCCAGUUAUAAAAUGGGCAAAAGACUUGAAUAGACAUUUCACCAAAAAAGACAUUCAAAUGGCCACCGAACACAUGAAAAGAUGCUCAACGUCCUUAGCCAUCAGAGGGUUGCAAAUCAAAACCACAGUGAGAUAUCAUUUUACUCCCACUAGGAUGGCUAAGAUAAAACCCCCCAAAAUAACAAAUGUUGGCUAGGAUGUGGGGAAAUUGAAACCUUUAUCCAUUGCUGGUGGGAAUGCAAAAUGGUACAGCCAUUGUGGAAAAGAGUGUGGUGGUUCCUCAGAAAACUAAAAGUAGAACUGCUAUAUGAACCAGCAAUUCUACUCCUAGGUAUACACCCAAAAGACUUGAAAGCAGAGGCUCAAACAGAUACUUGUACACCAGUGUUCAUUGCAGCACUGUUCACAGUAGCAAAAGGUAGACACUACAUAAAUGCCCAUCAAUGGAUGAAUGGAUGAACAGAAUGUGGUACCUACGUACAAUGGACUACUACUCAGCCAGUAAGAGAAAUGAAGUCUUAUUGUAUGGAGCGUGAAGAUAUUAUGCUGAGUGAAAUAAGUCCAUCAUGAAAAGGGUAAAUAUUGCAUGACCUCAUUGAUAUAAAAAGACAAGAAGAGGCAAAUGUAUAGAGACCAAAGUUUAUUAGUUGUUACCAGGGUAGGAGGGAGGGGAAAGCCUCUGCUGCUUAUGGAGUUCUGAGUUUCAGUUUACAGUAAUGGAAAAAUUGCAUUGAUUAACCUUAGGGUUAGACAGCCAAUUCUUGUAGCUGUCAAUAAGUUGACAUCUGUAAAAAAUUUAAUUGGCAUAAGUUGUGUAAUACAUGUAUUUAUAGCAUUGAAAAAAAAAAGAGUAGCUGCUGCGUCUGCUUAUGUACAACCAAACACCUCAUGGGAUUUGAUUCCUUGGUUUAGGGUCAUGGUUUCAUGGGACAUCCAGUUAAUUGGCCUAAUGACAUGUUUAGUGCUUCUGCUGUACCUCCUAGUUUGUUUUGUAGUGCUUGAGGUCUUAAAAGCUUGGGAGUGGCCAUUCAAGGUACAAUAAUUGGCCUCCAUUUGCCUGGAGGAACAGAGGAAGAAGGAGAGCAGGAAAUAGGAAGAGGAAAUGGAAUGUAUGGCUAAUUGCCUCCAUGAAUAACUGCCUCCUUUUCUAUGAGACCAGGAGAACUGGAUAGUGCCUGGCUACCAUUAGUGAACAUUUUGGUCAAAGAUUCCAUAGAAGAAUCCUGAUCAAAACGGGGAAAAUGUAGACAGAAUUUUAAAUUCUCAUGGAAUCCAUAGUUUCUGGAGCCAUGGAGGGUGAAUGAACCCUCAAAACUAUUGUCCUGAGAUAAACUUUAAACAUUAAACCAAAAGUACUCACUGAAGUCUUAAAACCAAACAAUAAAAAAAAAAAAAUUAAUAGCUUAGCUUAAUUAACAAAGAAUGUCUGCCUUGAGUAUUAUGCUCUUCUUAGGUCUAUCUAUAUGAAAUCAAAUUAACAACAGGAACUUGAAAGAUUAGAUAGGAACCUUUGGGGCCAGCGCGUUUAUGUCAGUAGAGGAGGAAAAACUCAGAAAAGGAGGGUGAGAAUGGUUGUACAACUCAAAGAAUAUAAUCAGUGUCACUGAAUUGUACAUGUAGAAACGUUGGUGUAUGUUUUGCUGUGUAUAUUCUCAAACUAAAAAUUAUUUAAAAACACACACACAAAAAGAAAAAUAACAAAAUAAACAAUUCAGUGGAUGGGUUUAUCAGCAGAUUAAACUAAGCUGAAGAGAAACAGAGUGAACAGGAAUGUAGAAGAAACUACCCAAAAGAGAGAAUAAAAGAUAUUAGAGGGUAAGAAAUAUAGAAGAUUCGUGGAGUAAGGGCUAAUGAAUCUGUAAUUGGAAUCCCAGAAGGAAAGGAGAGAGAGAAUAGGGCAGAGAUAUUACUGGAAGAGAUAAUGGCUGGAAAUUUUCCAGAAUGGAUACUCAAAUAAAUAAAACCAAAUCUACACCUAGACACAUCAUGGUGAAAUGGGAGAAAACCAAAGACAAAUACUUAAACAUAGGCAGAGAGAAAAAGAAAUAUUAAUUUCAAAGGAGCACCAGUUAGACUAGAUGUCAGCAAACUUUUUUGUAAAGGGCCAGAUAGUAAAUGUUUUAGGCUUUGUGGGCCAUAGGAUCUCUGUUGUAUUUUGCCUUGCCAUUGUAGCACAAAAGUAGCCAUAAACAAUAUAUGAAUAAAUGACCAUGACUGUGUUCCAAUAAAACUGUAUUUACAGAAACAGGUGGUAGGCCACAUUUGGGCCAGGGGUUAUAGUCUGCCAACCUUUAAGUUAGACUGCCAACUGAUUUCUGAACAGCAACCGUAGAAGCUAGAAAACAGUAGAAUUACAUUUUUGGUGUGCAGAAAGAAAACAGCAAUCCUAGAAUUCUCUGCCUAGCAAAAUGCUCCUUCAAGAUUGAAGGCAAAAUGAUAUUUUCAGAUAAAAACCAAGAGCAUAAACCGUAGCAGAUCAGCAGUAAAGGAAAUUCUAAAAGAUGUUCUUCAGGCAGAAAGAAAUUGAAGGUAAAGGUAUUGAUUAAUAUAGGCUUUGCUGAAUCAAGGAUGAACAUUGUAAUUUCUAGGGUAACCAUCAAAAGAAUAGAAGAGAGGACCUUGUAGGCUGGAGAGUAUGAGGGGAAUCCCAGAGUAGAGAGAGCUAAAGAAAAGGAUUCCUUAAUCCUGUAUAUGAAACUCGCACAAGUCACGAUCCUAGUCUUCAGUUAUUCAAACCAGCAUAAGAAAAGUUUUGAGAACUCAAGUAAAAUUUGAACCACUGUCUACAGAAGGCAAGAUGGAACUUGAGGGUGAAUCUAACAGACUGAUGGUCUGCUAAAACAAAAAUACCAACAUUCUCCAGAGGAUUCUAAGAAGACCCAGAACCUACACAAAAUAAUAUUUACAAUGUCUGGGAUACAAUAACUAUUACUUUAACUACAAGAACUAGGAACAUGUGACCAGUGCUCAAAGGAAAAGAGAAUCAACAGAUGCCAACCCCGAGAUGACCUAAAUACUGGAAUUAUCAGAUAAAAAUACUUUAAGGCACUUAUUUUAAUUGUGCUUCAUGAGAUAACGGAAAACACAUUUGUAAUGAAAGAGAAGAUAGGCGUGCUAAUCAGAUGAAUAGAAAUGACUUAAAAAAUAAAAACUUUAGAACUGAAAAAAUACAGUAUAAAAAAAAAAUCACUGGAUGAAUUCCAAUUAACAGAAUGGAUUUGCCAGAGGAAAGAGUCAGUAAACAUGAAGAUAAAUCAAUAAAAAUCAUCCCAUCUGAAGAGCAAAGAGAAAAAAGAUCAGAAAACAGUGAACAAAGUUUCAGGGACAUAUGGAACAGUGUUAAAAGGCUAACAUAUGUAUCAUUGGAACCCCAGAAGGAAAGUAGAGAUUGGUGCAGAAAAAAAUAUUUGAAAUAAAAAAAAGAGAAAAUAAGUAAUAAAAUGGUUGACCCAAAUUAAACUAAUUCAAAUAUAUCAGUGGUCUAAAAGCUCCAAUUAAAAGUCCAAGAUUGUCAGAGUGAAUAAAAAAGCAAGAUUCUACUAUAUGGUGCUUACAAGAGUCAUGUAGGUAGUGUGACUAUUUUAAUUGCAGAUAAAAUAGACUUUAUGACAAAAAAUAUUACCAGAGAUGAAGAAGGUCAUUUAAUAAUGAUAAAAGGAACAAUUCAUCAGGAAGACAUUUUAAUUAUAAGCAUGUAUGCAUGUUUUUUUUUUUUUUUUGCAUGUAGUAAUACAGCCUCAAAACACAAGAAGGAAAACUUGACAAAAAUUUAAUGGAGAAACAGACAAUUCCACAAUGAUAUUAGGAUAUUUCAACACCCUUCUUUAAGCAGUUGAUAGAAUAACUAGACAAAAAUAUCAGUAAAGACAUAGAAAAUCUGAGCAACGUAAUCAACUGCCUUAAUCUAAUUGCCAUUUAUAGAGCAUUACAUCCAACAACUGCAGAAUACACGGUAUUUUGACCAAGAUAGAUCAUAUACUGGACCAUAAAAUAAGUCCCAAUAAAUGUAAAAGGACCAAAAUCUUACAAAGUGUUACUCUCUGAUAACAACAGAAUUAAACUAGAAAUCAGUAACAAUAGUUAACUAGAAAAAACCCCAAAUAUCUGAAAAUUAUACAACACACUUGUAAAUAAUUCAUGAAUCAAAGACAAAAAUCACAAUGAAAAUUAGAAAAUAUUUUGAACUGAAUGACAUGAAAAUAAAACAUCAAAAUUUGUGGGAUACAACUAAAAUGGUGUUUAGAGGGAAACAGCUUUAAAUGCUAAUAUCAGAGAAGUAAUAUUUAAAAUCAAUGACUGAAAUCAGCAGACAGUAGAGAAAAUUAACAAAUGCAAAAACUGAUUCUUUGAAAAGAUAAAACUGACAAACCUCUAGCUAGACUGAUGAAGAAAAAAGAGAACUCAAUAGUAACUAUCAGGAAUGAAAAAGAGGUUAUAGCCUUAAAAUCUCUACAUAUCAAAAGGAUAAGAGAAUACUCUCGAGUAAUUUUAUGUUAAUAAACACAACAGCUUAAAUAAAAUGGGCACAUUUCUUGCAAAAAAAAAAAUUUUGCCAAAAUUCACACAAGAAUGGAAAACAGAAAUAGCCUCACAUCUACUGAAGAGAUGAAUUUGUUAUCAAAAACCUUGCCCAAAAGAAAACUCCAGGCCCAAAUGGUUUCACUGCUGAAUUCUAUUAAACAUUUAAGGAAAAAAAUAACACCAAUUUUACACAAACUUUCAGAAAAUAGUGGAGGAGGAAAUCACUGCCCAAUUCAUUUAAUGAGACCAGCAUAACCCUGAUACCAAAACCUUACAUAAGAAAGAAAACUGUAGAUCGUUAACCCUCAUGAAUAUAGAUGCAAAGGUUAUUAACAAAAUAUUAAAUCCAACUAUAUUUAAAAUAUUGAAUUCUACACUAUUUAAAAAGGAUAAUAUACCAGAACUAAGUAGACUUGCCUCAGGAGUGCAAGGUUUGAUUGAUUUUUAAAUGUGAAAUAAUGUUAUUCACCAUAUAACCAGAAAAGGAGAAACUCUAUGACCAUUUCAACAGAUAAAAAAUUCAACACUCACUCAUGGUAGGGAAAAAAAA